UACGUAGGGACCAAGCGUUUGUUCGGGAUUUACUGGGCGUAAAGGGCGCGUAGGCGGCAAUUCAAGUCAGUCUCGUGAAAUCUCCGGGCUUAACCCGGAACGGUCAGAUGAUACUGCUUUGCUAGAGUGCGGAAGGGGCAAUCGGAAUUCUUGGUGUAGCGGUGAAAUGCGUAGAUAUCAAGAGGAACACCUGAGGUGAAGACGGGUUGCUGGGCCGACACUGACGCUGAGGAGCGAAAGCGUGGGGAGCGAACAGG
rnacentral:rRNA from 1 species